CACCUCUCAGAGUCACACCUAGAGAGUUUCCAGUACUCUACCAGUCUCGACUAUGGGAGGAAGAGUCAAGCAGAGGCUUAUCUAUUCCAUUCCUAGUUUGGGCAAUGGUUAGACAGUGGAAGGCAAUCUGCUACAAGU